GUCGAUCCUCACGACUGCAAAAUGUUUGUUUUCACACCUGUGGCUACGUCCCGUGCUGAAAUGUAGAUCAUCACUCCUCAACUGCCUAUAAGAUGGGGAGGUUAGCAUUCAUGUAUCAUUGGUGAAAGUUAAUCCAUAGGACGGUAAUAAAUCAAUAAUUGGCCUAGCCUCAUUCAGUGCAUUGUAGCUAUUUUGUGCAAGUUGUAUGGUUUCUG
rnacentral:misc_RNA from 1 species